GACGUAGGGCGCGAGCGUUGUCCGGAUUUAUUGGGCGUAAAGAGCUCGUAGGCGGCUUGUCGCGUCGUCCGUGAAAACCCGCGGCUUAACUGCGGGCUUGCGGUUGAUACGGGCGGGCUAGAGUUCGGUAGGGGAGACUGGAAUUUCUGGUGUAGCGGUGAAAUGCGCAGAUAUCAGGAGGAACACCGGUGGCGAAGGCGGGUCUCUGGGCCGAUACUGACGCUGAGGAGCGAAAGCGUGGGGAGCGAACAGG
rnacentral:rRNA from 1 species